rnacentral:lncRNA from 1 species
GGGGAGCGGAGCCAGAGAGAGAAAAAGAGAGAAAAGUUUCCCGGAGUCUUCAUUAGUUGAUUUCCCUGUCCGCCGCUUUCCCCGGCCGGCUCACCCCCGGUAAAGGAAGGAGGGGCGUCUUUAUUUUUUUAAGGCCCCAAAGAGUCUGAUGUUUACAAGACCAGAAAUGCCACGGCCGCGUCCUGGCAGAGAAAAGGCUGAAAUGGAGGACCGGCGCCUUCCUUAUAAGCUCGUUGGGGCCUAAGCCAGUACCGACCUGGUAGAAAAAGCAACCACGAAGCUAGAGAGAGAGCCAGAGGAGGGAAGAGAGCGCCAGACGAAGGUGAAAGCGAACCACGCAGAGAAAUGCAGGCAAGGGAGCAAGGCGGCAGUUCCCGGAACAAACGUGGCAGAGGGCAAGACGGGCACUCACAGACAGAGGUUUAUGUAUUUUUAUUUUUUAAAAUCUGAUUUGGUGUUCCAUGAGGAAAAGGGAAAAUCUAGGGAACGGGAGUACAGAGAGAAUAAUCCGGGUCCUAGCUCGCCACAUGAACGCCCAGAGAACGCUGGAAAAACCUGAGCGGGUGCCGGGGCAGCACCCGGCUCGGGUCAGCCACUGCCCCACACCGGGCCCACCAAGCCCCGCCCCUCGCGGCCACCGGGGCUUCCUUGCUCUUCUUAUCAUCUCCAUCUUUAUGAUGAGGCUUGUUAACAAGACCAGAGAGCUGGCCAAGCACCUCUAUCUCAGCCGCGCCCGCUCAGCCGAGCAGCGGUCGGUGGGGGGACUGGGAGGCGCUAAUUAAUUGAUUCCUUUGGACUGUAAAAUAUGGCGGCGUCUACACGGAACCCAUGGACUCAUAAACAAUAUAUCUGUUGGGCG